AUUGAACGCUGGCGGCAGGCCUAACACAUGCAAGUCGAACGAGUGGCGGACGGGUGAGUAAUGUCUGGGAAACUGCCUGAUGGAGGGGGAUAACUACUGGAAACGGUAGCUAAUACCGCAUACCAUCAGAUGUGCCCAGAUGGGAUUAGCUUGUUGGUGGGGUAACGGCUCACCAAGGCGACGAUCCCUAGCUGGUCUGAGAGGAUGACCGGCCACGCUGGAACUGAGAAACGGUCCAGACUGCGACGUGAGGCAGCAGAGGGGAAUAUUGCACAAUGGGGGCAAGUCUGAUGCGGCCCGGCCGCGUGUAUGAAGAAGGCCUUCGGGUUGUAAAGUACUUUCAGCGGGGAGGCGUUACCCGCAGAAGAAGCACCGGCUAACUCCGUGCCAGCAGCCGCGGUAAUUC
rnacentral:rRNA from 1 species